CCCCUAGACGUUCUGGGCUGCACGCGCGCUACAAUAAUACGCACAGCGAGUAUCACCGAGCUCGAAAGGGCAAGGUAAACAAUAGAAAAGGUACUGUAAUGGUUAUAGAUCCUUGUAAUUAUUGAUCUUCAACGAGGAAUUCCUAGUAAGUAUGUGUCAUCAUCACGCGCUGAUUACGUCCCUGCCCUUUGUACACACCGCCCGUCGCUCCUACCGAUUGGGUGAGCCGAUGAAACUCUCGGAUGUAGGCUAUUCAUAGCCCGCAGAAGAGAUUUGAAUCGUAGCGCUUAGAGGAAGGAGAAGUCGUAACA
rnacentral:rRNA from 1 species